rnacentral:ncRNA from 1 species
CAACUUGAGAGUUUGAUCCUGGCUCAGAGCGAACGCUGGCGGCAGGCUUAACACAUGCAAGUCGAGCGCCCCGCAAGGGGAGCGGCAGACGGGAGAGUAACACGUGGGAACGUGCCCUUUGGUCUGGAAUAACUCAGGGAAACUUGAGCUAAUGCCGGAUACGCCCUUCGGGGGAAAGAUUUAUCGCCAUUGGAGCGGCCCGCGUCUGAUUAGCUAGUUGGUGAGGUAAUGGCUCACCAAGGCGACGAUCAGUAGCUGGUCUGAGAGGAUGACCAGCCUCAUUGGGACUGAGACACGGCCCAAACUCCUACGGGAGGCAGCAGUGGGGAAUAUUGGACAAUGGGCGCAAG